GUCCACGCCGUAAACGAUGAAUACUAGGUGUCGGGCGUCAAACUCGGUGCCGCAGCUAACGCAUUAAGUAUUCCGCCUGGGGAGUACGCACGCAAGUGUGAAACUCAAAGGAAUUGACGGGGACCCGCACAAGCAGCGGAGCAUGUGGUUUAAUUCGAAGCAACGCGAAGAACCUUACCAGGUCUUGACAUCUCUCUGAUCGACUCUUAGCCGAGUCUUCCCUUCGGGGCAGAGAUGACAGGUGGUGCAUGGUUGUCGU
rnacentral:rRNA from 1 species